GCAACCCGGUCAGCUGUAUUCAAAACUGUUUGAAGAAGUUCAGAAAGUAAAUAUUGGAAAGUCAAAGUGGACUCAGAAGCUGUGCAAAAAGACAGGAGCUGCAAGAAAACAAAAGAACAAUUGAAACCCAACGUAAAGCCAUUCAAGAAUUGCAGUUCGGAAAUGAAAGCCUCAGCAUAAAACUAGAGGAUCAGAUCAGUGAGAAUGAUGAUCUGCAGAACAAAAACAAUGCAACACGGAACCUAUGUAAUAUACUAAAGGAUACGUUUGAAAGAUCAGCUGAGAAAAUCCAUCUAUUUGAAUCUGAAAGAGAGGAAACCCAUCACUUGUUCAUGGAAAACAGUGAAACUAUUCAGAGGAUGAAUGCUGCCUUUGAAAGCCUACGUAUUCAAGCAGAAACUGACCGCCAUGAAAUGCUGAAAGUCAAAGAGGAUUUGGAAYAAUUUGCCGUUUUAAAGGAGAAGUUUGAGAAAGAAUUCAGUAUGAAAGAAGAAGAGGUUGUGAUACUUCAGAUGAAAAUGAAGGACAAAGAAAAAGAACUUCAGGCAAUCCUGCUCAACCUCCAUGAAACCCUAGAGAGUUGCAAACGGUUACAACAGG